UUUACUACUUGGCGGCGAGCGGCGGACGGCUGAGUAACGCGUAGGAACGUGCCCCAAAGUGAGGAAUAACUGCCCGAAAGGGUGGCUAAUGCCGCAUAUGAUCUUCGGAUUAAAGUCUUCGGACGCUUUGGGAGCGGCCUGCGUUAGAUUAGGUAGUUGGUGAGGUAAUGGCUCACCAAGCCGACGAUCUAUAGCUGGUCUGAGAGGAUGAUCAGCCAGACUGGGACUGAGACACGGCCCAG
rnacentral:rRNA from 1 species